AGUAAUCUUUUUCCUUCAACAGACAGAAAUCAGGUAAGAGACAGGUAAGGGAAGAUGCUGGUGCUAAAUUUCUGGACAUGCUGUGCAGGGGUGAAAUGUCAGAUGACAAAGCAGUAUCACGAAUAAGACUGCCAAAGGACAAUCUUGUUGAAUUCUGGGCAGAAACACUGAGGAGAGAUUUGAAUUGAAACUAUGUUAUUAUAAUAAUUGUGUUAUCUUCAAUCUGGGCAUGGCACACAGAGGAACAUUCUGGCCUGAUGCUGCUCAAGCUGUCCCUCUUUGGAUAAACAAAUGGCUUCAGUUUUCAAAACAUUCUCCUAAAGCACUUUUAUAUUCUUAUUUUUUAAAUUGUAUAACACCCAGUACACCUCAGUGGUCCCAGUCUUUAAAAGCCUUGUUAAUUUUACCUUUAAAUUUUCUUCCUUUAUAUUCUUCUAUCGAAUUCAUAUCUUCUCAUUUAUGCCAGUAAUGUUCUCACCCAUAAAUUCUACUCUAAGGUCAAAAUGUUUCCUUUCUCCUUUUUUAAAUAACUGUCAAUACGGGCUCUCACAAUAAACAAAUCACCACCAAAAAAAGAACA